ACCGUCUCUGAGCCGACUCUCCUGAAAACGGUGACUCAGAUUUUCUCGGAGGCGGAGUCACCUCACCUCGCCAACAACUCCAACGGCCGCCACCCCCACCUAGCGGAUCACUGUAGCACAUCAGGUUGGAGUCUACUGUGCUCUGCUGUACUCUAAUGCAUUCUGCAGUGUUGAGCUGCGAAGAAACAGGGCGUUGCAUUUGAUCCGAUUAAAUUCAACGUGUGAAGUCAGUGACUCAGUCUCUGAGCUCGGUGCAGAGCAGCGUUGGCGCUGAAGGUUGAUGGUCAGCCUGGUGAAACUCAAACUUUUCUCCCUCAGGUUUACACCUUCGAGUUGUAUCUGACAUCGGAGGAACUCUUUCAGUUUGGCUUGGAAGCGGCCGACGAGCUGCACAGCUGAACACGUUUGUUCUGCUGUUCAUGUUACAAACAAUCAAAUGAAUAAUGUUACAAAAUCGCUCUAACACAAAAUAUUUUCCCUAAAAACUUCGUCGAAUAACAAACUGAUCCAUGUUUGUGCUGUGACCGUCACCAGGCUGCGACGCCGCUCAGCUGUCACUGCCUGCUGACCCGAGAGUUUGAGCGGGUUGGGCUUCUACGGUACCGUGCAAUGCUGGACCCUCAGCAGUGGAAGGAGGCUUACUUUGUCCUGCAGAAGUCCAACCUGUUCAUCGCCGCCGAGGACAUCAUCAACCUCAACCGCCUGCAGGAGCUGAGUAUGUGUGCUGGUCCCGGUCCGGGUCCUGGUUGUUAUUGAUGGAGCUCUCUGUGUUCAAGUAUCACCUCCGAGAUGGAGAACCAGGAGAAGAAAGUCAUCCUGGUCCACAAUACCAUUUUGAACAGGCAGGAAACAAGAAUAUCUGCAUAUCUCAGGGAACAGAAAAGACCUGUUCAGCCUGUUCAGUCUCUUCCUGUCCCCAGCAGAGAUGAUCUCAAUCAGAUGAUCUCAGUCUCCUAGCAUAAACCCCCUUAAGGAUGUAACCAACGUCAAAGUACAACCCGUGCUAUAUGUUUGCAAAUCGAUCCUUAGAACUAGGGGAUUUCGACUCACAUUUGAGCAGGAACGCACACGGCUGGAGAUCUCUAUUCCCCUGCACUCAUGGAGAAAAAACAUGCCUAGUGCUCCUCGGACUUGUGAUACGGCAGGACAGUUGUAAAAGCAUGUGACGUCAUCACCGUAGUAAACAGUGAGAACAAAGUGGAACUUAUCGGCAGAAAUUACCACUACACUUAUAGCGAUGCAACAGAAAUAUAAGGAGACUUUCUGACAGUGUACUUUACAUUUUAAACACGUGCUUUCGGUGUUCCCGUCAGAACGCUCCACCUGCAGGGCAUCGGUUGGGCAGAUUUCUCUCUGUGGUACUCGGACAUUCAACGAGCAGCCGCUCUGAGAGACCAGCAGAUGAGCAGGAACGACAUCCCCAUCAUCGUGGACAGCUGCAUCGCCUUCAUCACACAGUAGGGUGAAGAAGACAGCAUGAUAGACUUUCCUUGUUGGUCUGGGUCACGAGGGCAUCUACAGGAAGAACGGAGCCAAAUCCAGGAUCAAACUGCUGAUGGAGGAGUUCCGCAGAAACGCUCGAAACGUCAAGCUGCGGAUUGGGGACUACUUCAUCGAGGACGUGACCGACGUACUGAAGAGGUUCUUCAGAGAGAUUGAUGACCCUGUCUUCAUGGUCGACCUCAACCCGCUGUGGCAGGAAGCUGCCAAGGCGUGCGAGGCUGGACCGUUACAAAGAAAUCAUCCGCACUCUACCCCGAGUCAACCGGAUGACCCUGGCUGCUCUCAUCAGUCACCGGUACAGAGCCUGGUGGGGGUGGGGCUUAGGUACUUGCCUUUUUGUAGAAUGUUCGCGUGGUUAGAACACCGCCACUGAAAAUCUAACUGACAAACAGCAGUUCCUCCCACCCUCAGCACUCCCUCUGGGCCUCCGAGCCCCUCCGCUCCCCUCCCAUUGCUCAAUGCAGCUGAUCAGGCAUCCCCCGCAGAUGGCAGGGAGUCACCGUCACUGUUUGAGAGUUGCAGCCGGAGGGUGAAGGCUCGCAGCGCAUCCACCUUGCCGGUCCCCUGCAGAGACAUGGCGUCUCAGUCCUCAGACAGGAUAGACCACCUGCAGCAGGAGAAAGAGAUGCUGAUGGAGGAGGUCAAAGCUAAGAAGGAGCCAGUGUGGAUCCUCCACAAAGCGCUGGAGGUGGCUUAGCUGGAGAAGUGAGUCUGCGCCGAGUUUUUGGCAGAGGAGGGCGAGCAGGAACGUCUGGAGCUGCUGUGACACUGCGAGCGACAGGUGGCCGACCUGCAGGGGCGGCUGGACGAGGCCAAGAUGGAGGUGGAGGCGGUGAGGAAGAGUCUGGCUGAGAAGGCAGCAGAACAUCAGGAUGUUGAUGGAGAAGAACAACGCCAAGCAGGAGGUGAGGAAAAACCAGAGGUCAGACUGACCUGUGGUUGGUCACGUUAAAGUAACCUGCGCACGUUUGUUCCCAUGACUGAAAGUUUCUCUGAGAUCUGGGGCUGUUCCUGGAGCUGCUGCUGACUCAGGAAAAAAGCACAAACCGAGCAUGGGUGGAUGUUGAGACAGAGGGCCUCUCCCGUGCAUUCAACGCUCCACCUAAAUGACCAGCCCAGAUGAUGGAUGUGUCAUGUGAUUCAGUGGAAAACUGAGAAUCGUAGCCAAAAGAAAAAAGUGGAAUGCUUGAGGAAGAUCACAGAGCAAAAGGCUCAUUGAGCGAGAGCGGUGGGCAGGUUGGUGUUCUGCACCAUUUGUUAGGUCUCUUCAGAGGUGUUUUUAAAAAAAAAAAAAAUAAUUUUCUAAGGUUUUCAGUCGUUUCCAUCCAUGAGUGAUUUGACUAGAAUUAAAACUGUGAAGACAAUCUCCAAUAUGUGUCACAAAUCUUCAUUUCAAUGUCCUAUAAUUUACCAUGAAAUUGAGACAGUAAUGAUCCAGUGGCAUUGGUUCCACACAGUGGAGAGUUGUAGUAAUGACUAGAAAGUUCACUGACUCAGAAAUAAACACACAUUGAAGACACUUUGCUCAGGGAGUCCAUUCAUGAACUCCUCUUGGUCUGUAUGUCGUCUGCAGCCAGAAGUGACACCUUUGCCCUGCUAGCAGGAUCUCCUGCAGUGAAACCUGCAGGAUCUGCACAACAGCCUACAGCUUAUGUGCAAACUUCAAUAAAAAAUCUUGGAAGAGACACAUCUUUCCAAACCUCUGCAGGCUCCUACCCGCUGCUGGAGGAGGGAGAGCAAUUUGACCUGACCAUGGACACUGAGCGCAUUUCUCCAUAGGAGCUGUCUAUCAGGCAGGAAACUAGGGGGAAAAGGAAAAAAAGGAAGCUGCUUCUAUAGGUGGCAGGAGUUCAGGCAGCAGUUUGAUCUGCCGGAAGGCUCAAACUCCGAAGACAUCACCUGCUACCUGGAUCCAGGUGGGAAGUUCCGCAUCCAGGCAUCCAAAAGUCUGUGUGAAGGAGGCUGAGACAGAGAUUUGAAGAAAUUUUCAUGUCUUAAGAUUUUUUUUUUUAAACCUAAAAUUUCAAUAAUUAAAGUGGGAAGACUGACCAGAGUGGAGAAACUGAGAAAAGGUG